GACGAACGCUGGCGGCGUGCUUAACACAUGCAAGUCGAACGGAAAGGCCCUGCUUUUGUGGGGUGCUCGAGUGGCGAACGGGUGAGUAACACGUGAGUAACCUGCCCUUGACUUUGGGAUAACUUCAGGAAACUGGGGCUAAUACCGGAUAGGAGCUCCUGCUGCAUGGUGGGCGUUGGAAAGUUUCGGCGGUUGGGGAUGGACUCGCGGCUUAUCAGCUUGUUGGUGGGGUAGUGGAUUACCAAGGCUGUGACGGGUAGCCGGCCUGAGAGGGUGACCGGCCACAUUGGGACUGAGGUACGGCCCAGACUCCUACGGGAGGCAGCAGGGGGGAAUAUUGCACAAUGGGCGGAAGCCAGAUGCAGCAACGCCGCGUGCGGGAUGACGGCCUUCGGGUUGUAAACCGCUUUCGCCUGUGACGAAGCGUGAGUGACGGUAAUGGGUAAAGAAGCACCGGCUAACUACGUG
rnacentral:rRNA from 1 species